CACACCAGAAGGGAAAUUUCUCUGUACAGGGCUUGUUCGUCCACAUGUGUUCCCUAGUACUGGUCACACAGUGCUGGUCACCUUUGAAGUUAUUUGGCUCACCCUCUUUCCAGUUUCUGUAGGAACUUUCUCUGUUGUUAGACCACUUCCAUGCGUUCCGGUACAAGCCAAUCCAAACAGCAAGCGAACCUUUGGCGGAUUUCAGCGCGUCGUCUUCCUCAGCAUUCUCGAUCAUAGCCAGGAUUUGAAGCUUCAAAACAAAAAAGUUAAAGUAUGAGAAGAUGGUCGUGUGUGUAAACAAGCAACUCAGUUAUGUUUCAGUUCAGGAAAAAACCCAAGGCAGGCUGAAGCAGGUAAAUAAUUUAAAAAUAAACCAUUUAAUGUUCAAAAACAAAACAGGCAGUGAAGGCAGGGAGCUGGCUGGCCAGAAAAGGUGAUCCUGAUGGCGACGCAGGGAACACAGGCAAGGUUCAGUUGAAGCAGUGAGGCACACCGGAGUACCGAACAAGACAGAAUUAUCUGGCUGAGUAGUGGAGUGAAGACCAGGCUUUUAUGGACAGGAUGAUUAGUUAAGUCAAGCCAGGUGUGCCUCGUCUGCUGCUGAGUGGAGAAGCCAGCCAACCCCCUGACACUCACAUACCUGGAGGAGAAGGAAAACAGAAAGGGGAGGGGGUGAAGGAGAACAAAAGCAAAAAAAAAACUACAACAAAACCAAACAGAAUCAUCACAAAAUAAACAU